AGAGUCAAUAAAAUAUGAAUAGUUCUCUUGAAUCAAUAAAUCUAUACAUUCCUUAACAAAAUCAUGUAAAAAUUAAUAAUAGCCUAUUAAUGUAAUUUUAGGCACAGAUGCACUUUAGCACCAUAACUAUGUAACACCUUUGGUCCCGUACAGCCGUAGAAGCACCACAGUCCUGCUGUGAAGUGACUCAUCUGAGGAUUAUGAAACAUUGCAAUGGCACCUUUUUACAUACAAGCCAUUGCAUUACAGAUGAUUUAUUAUUAGUGCAAAAGUAAAAUGAAAACAUGCAUGCAAGAGGAAAGAAGAUGUAUGAAUAGAAGGUGGAAGUACGUUUAUGGCUCUGACUGGUGUCUGGCGUGCAGGGAAACAAAUGGAAUAAAUACAGAUGUAAUGUGACUUAAACUGCUAUAUGAUGAAGUACAAACUGUCUUUCCUUCCUUUUCAUGUCUAUGUGGAAAAGGGACUAAUCCCAGCAUCGUCAACAUUUACUUUUGACACAUGACAUCGUGAUGCUCUCCUAUGUCCAGCCAGUUUGAGAGAAAAUGCCUGCGUGAAAUAUUUGUUUAUAUUAUUGCUUUAAAAUGUUAUGGCUUUUAAGAUUUGUGUAAAUUGUGGACGUAAUGUACAGUUAUAAUUGACACGUGUUGCAAAAAGCAAUCAAGGUAGGCUCCUAAAUGAGGUUUGGUAAAAUCACAAUUUUGUGUUAUUUCUGAGCGAUUUCAUUAUAAUAUUACAAAAACAAAUAAAAUGUGUAAAAUCAGUUU